GGCCUACCAUGGUGGUAACGGGUAACGGGGAAUUAGGGUUCGAUUCCGGAGAGGGAGCCUGAGAAACGGCUACCACAUCCAAGGAAGGCAGCAGGCGCGCAAAUUACCCAAUCCCGACACGGGGAGGUAGUGACAAUAAAUAACAAUACGGGGCUCUUUCGGGUCUCGUAAUUGGAAUGAGUACAAUUUAAAUCCCUUAACGAGGAACAAUUGGAGGGCAAGUCUGGUGCCAGCAGCCGCGGUAAUUCCAGCUCCAAUAGCGUAUAUUAAAGUUGUUGCAGUUAAAAAGCUCGUAGUUGAAUUUCGGGAUUGACACAUCGGUCGUGCCUUAAGGGGUAUGAACUGGUGUAGUCAAUUUCUCACCUUCUGGAGAACCGCGAUGCCCUUAAUUGGGUGGGGGGGGGAACCAGGACCUUUACUUUGAAAAAAUUAGAGUGUUUAAAGCAGGCUCACGCUUGAAUACAUUAGCAUGGAAUAACGAAAUAGGACGUUUGAUUCUAUUUCGUUGGUUUCUAGGAUCGACGUAAUGAUUAAUAGGGAUAGUUGGGGGCAUUAGUAUUCAAUUGUCAGAGGUGAAAUUCUUGGAUUUAUUGAAGACUAACUACUGCGAAAGCAUUUGCCAAGGAUGUUUUCAUUAAUCAAGAACGAAAGUUAGGGGAUCGAAGACGAUCAGAUACCGUCGUAGUCUUAACCAUAAACUAUGCCGACUAGGGGAUCGGAUGAUGUUAAUUUUUAAUGACUCAUUCGGCGCCUUACCG
rnacentral:rRNA from 1 species